UACGUAGGGGGCAAGCGUUAUCCGUAUUUACUGGGUGUAAAGGGAGCGUAGACGGCAGGGCAAGUCUGGAGUGAAAGGCAGGGGCCCAACCCCUGGACUGCUCUGGAAACUGUCCGGCUGGAGUGCAGGAGAGGUAAGUGGAAUUCCUAGUGUAGCGGUGAAAUGCGUAGAUAUUAGGAGGAACACCAGUGGCGAAGGCGGCUUACUGGACUGUAACUGACGUUGAGGCUCGAAAGCGUGGGGAGCAAACAGG
rnacentral:rRNA from 1 species